rnacentral:rRNA from 1 species
GACAGAGGCCCCAAGCGUUAGUCGGAAUUACUGGGCUUAAAGGGUGCGUAGGCGGGCGCGUAAGUGUUCUGUGAAAUCCCCGGGCUCAACCCGGGAACCGCAGGGCAUACUGCGCGUCUCGAGGAAGCUAGAGGCCGGUGGAACGAUCGGUGGAGCGGUGAAAUGCGUAGAGAUCCGGAGGAACACCGAAGGCGAAGGCAGUGUCCUGGCGCGUAACUGACGCUGAGGUGCGAAAGCCAGGGGAGCGAACGGG